ensembl:snoRNA
UGCAUCCAUGGUGAGGACUGGUGAGUUAUGAAUUAUAAAUGAUGAAUAUUUUUUCUGAAAGUCUGAGGUCUUU